rnacentral:rRNA from 1 species
GACGAACGCUGGCGGCGUGCUUAACACAUGCAAGUCGAGCGGAGCGGCGAACGGGUGAGUAACGAGUGAGUAACUUCCCCCCUCUCUGGGAUAACAGUUGGAAACGGCUGCUAAUACCGGAUAGUGGGGGAUGACUCGCGUCCGAUCAGCUUGUUGUUGGGGUAUGGGCCUACAAAGGCGACGACGGGGAGCGGGCCUGUGAGGGGGAUCGGCCACAUUGGGCUGAGCUACGGCCCAAACUCCUACGGGAGGCAGCCGAGGGGAAUAUUGCACAAUGGGGGAAACCCUGUUGCAGCAACGCGCGUGCGGGAUGGCGGCCUUCGGGUUGUAACCCGCUUUCGGCCAUGACGCGGUAGUUGCAGAAGAAGCACCGGCUAACUACGUGCCAGCAGCCGCGGUAAUAC